rnacentral:rRNA from 1 species
AUUGAACGCUGGCGGCAUGCCUUACACAUGCCAGUCGAACGGUAACGGGCCUUCGGGUGCCGACGAGUGGUGAACGGGUGAGUAAUACAUCGGAACGUGCCCGAUCGUGGGGGCUCACGAGGCGAAAGCUUUGCUAAUACCGCAUACGAUCUACGGAUGCAAGCAGGGGACCGCAAGGCCUUGCGCGGACGGAGCGGCCGAUGGCAGAUUAGGUAGUUGGUGUGAUAAAAGCUUACCAAGCCGACGAUCUGUAGCUGGUCUGAGAGGAUGAUCAGCCACACUGGGACUGAGACACGGCCCAGACUCCUACGGGAGGCAGCAGUGGGGAAUUUUAGACAAUGGGCGCAAGCCUGAUCCAGCCAUGCCGCGUGCAGGAUGAAGGCCUUCGGGUUGUAAACUGCUUUUGUACGGAACGAAAAGCCUUCUUUUAAUACAGGAGGGUCAUGACGGUACCGUAAGAAUAAGCACCGGCUAACUACGUG